CCCUCUCUCUCUCCCCCAGGUGAAUUUCCUGGACCUGCUGCCGCAGGAGGACAUGAUCCUGAUUGUCCGCUUUUACCACUGGCCCAGUGGAGGGGUGGCCACCACCCCGUGGGACCAGGGGUCGGGCGGGCAGCAGCUGCUGCUGGGAACUGAUGCGUGGUUGGCUGCCUGGGCCAUCCUCAGACUGACCAAGCCUGCUGGAUCCGAUGUGGCGACGAAGGGGGGCCUAGGAGCAGUGACCUGGAACACGGGGCCCCACGAUUUGACCCUGUAUCAUGGCCCUGUGCCUCCUGCCCAUACGCUCUCAGUCCUGCCCGAGGAGCGGCAGCACAAGGGCUUCGAACCAUACGGCAGUGCCAGCGUGAGGCUGCACCUGUUCAGCGACAAGAAGCCGGAGCAGCCUUUCCCACCCGAGUCGCCAGUCCCUCUCAGCCAGCCGCAGGACUGGCCCUGGGCGGCGUUCAUCCAUCACACCAGGGAGACGCCCGCCUCGGAGCCCUUCAGCGCCACAGACGGCUUCGACCUGUACAUCGACGGGGCCCGGUUCCUGCCCGAUGCCGUCACCGUCACUAGGGUCGCUGGCCGGAUCUUUGACAGCCACUACCACCAAGUUGGUCCAGACAUUUCCACCGCCAUUGAUUUGAGCAGCAAUAUCUUCGAGCCACUCUACAACUAUCGCGUGGAGAUCCGGAAUCCACCAGUGCCGCCCUCCGCUACGCUCUUGCUAAAGGUCUGUGCUGCGGCCAGGCAGAUGACAGAUGUCAUCUCCCCGGCUGGCAGGAUCUCCACAAGCCCUUGCUGUGUGGGGCAGGAGAGGAGAGUUGCUCUUCCCCUGCGAGUGACGGGACUGUACUGA
rnacentral:lncRNA from 1 species